rnacentral:rRNA from 1 species
GAGGUAACCGGCUCACCAAGGCGACGACGGGUAGCCGGCCUGAGAGGCGACCGGCCCACUGGGACUGAGACACGGCCCAGACUCCUACGGGAGGCAGCAGUGGGGAAUAUUGCACAAUGGGCGCAAGCCUGAUGCAGCGACGCCGCGUGAGGGAUGACGGCCUUCGGGUUGUAAACCUCUUUCAGCAGGGAAGAAGCGCAAGUGACGGUACCUGCAGAAGAAGCGCCGGCUAACUACGUGCCAGCAGCCGCGGUAAUACGUAGGGCGCGAGCGUUGUCCGGAAUUAUUGGGCGUAAAGAGCUCGUAGGCGGCUUGUCGCGUCGGUUGUGAAAGCCCGGGGCUUAACCCCGGGUCUGCAGUCGAUACGGGCAGGCUAGAGUUCGGUAGGGGAGAUCGGAAUUCCUGGUGUAGCGGUGAAAUGCGCAGAUAUCAGGAGGAACACCGGUGGCGAAGGCGGAUCUCUGGGCCGAUACUGACGCUGAGGAGCGAAAGCGUGGGGAGCGAACAGGAUUAGAUACCCUGGUAGUCCACGCCGUAAACGGUGGGUACU